GGCUGUUUUUUUUCUAUUUUUAUGUUGGGAUGUACCAGUACCCAUCCAUGUCAAUUUUCUGUUUUUUGUUAGUUAGAUGUAUUUCUAUUUGUAUCCUUAAGCUGAGUUAAAAAAAAUUCCACUGAUUUUCAUAGUUUGUUAUUAUGUUGUAUUGUUACACCACUUUUCCAGGUUAGGGGAAGGGUUAGUGCUUUCAAACUAGUUUAACCCUUCACAAUCGUAUGUGCCUGUCACAAGUCAGGAGCCUGUAGUGGAUUUUUGUUGCUGUGACUGUGUUACAUAUCAUUUUUUACAUAAAUUAAGCCAUUACUUUUCUC
rnacentral:lncRNA from 1 species